GAUUUCACAGUAUUUCGAUAACAAUGUUCCGAAAUCGGUUGUUGACAUGUCCGGUGUCUGUAGCUCAGCCGUGAAAAUGAUUUAUAGAAAUAAGGAAGCCGUUACAUCAUUGCCACCAGUAUAUAACAAGGUCCCACGCAAAAA